GGCCUCUUUAGGGACAUCAUCUAAAAUUGGAAUGAUACAAGGAAGAUUAGCAUGACCUUGCACAUAGAUGAUAUGCGCAAAUGGAUAAAUGAUGUCACAAACA